AUGGGGCGGGCUGCUUUCUGGGGGGCCCCCUUGGGGGACGCUGUGAGGCGGAGGCCGCCCUCGCUCCGGAUCCCGAGGCUGCGCCCCAGGAGGCCGCGUCCCAGCGCCCAGGAGAGCGCGCCCGGGAGCGCCCAGGACGUGACCCCGCCUCCCCCGGGGCCCGCUGCGGCCCGACCCCGAGCCUUUGCCGAACCCCGCUUCGGGCUUUCCCGCGCCUGCGGGGGACCCCGCAGGCCCCCAUCCCCCCCCCCCCCCCCCCCCGCCCAGCGAGUCGGGUCCAGGCUCCGGGAGGCGCAGGGCCAGGCCCAGCCCGAGGCCCGGGACUCCGCGCUCACCGCUCGGCCCGGCUCCGCCCCGGAGGCCGCCCCCGCGCUGCUGAGCUCCGGGCGCCAAGGGGCAGUGUCUCCGCGCCCGGCCCGGGGGAGCAGGGUGGGGGGUCAUCGCCCCCCGCAGCCCCCCAGCAGGGUCGGGGUGUCACCCCCCGCGGCCCCGCAGCCCCCCAGCAGGGUCGGGUGUCACCCCCCCGCGCCCCGCAGCCCCCAGCAGGGUCGGGGUGUCACCCCCCGCAGCCCCCCAGCAGGGUCGGGGUGUCACCCCCGGCCCCGCAGCCCCCAGCAGGGUCGGGGUGUCACCCCCCGCGGCCCCGCAGCCCCCAGCAGGGUCGGGGUGUCACCCCCCGCGGCCCGCAGCCCCCCAGCAGGGUCGGGGUGUCACCCCCCGCGGCCCCGCAGCCCCCAGCAGGGUCGGGGUGUCACCCCCCCGCAGCCCCCCAGCAGGGUCGGGGUGUCACCCCCCGCGGCCCCGCAGCCCCCAGCAGGGUCGGGGUGUCACCCCCGCGGCCCCGCAGCCCCCCAGCAGGGUCGGGGUGUCACCCCCGCGGCCCGCAGCCCCCAGCAGGGUCGGGGUGUCACCCCGGCCCGCAGCCCCCCAGCAGGGUCCGGCGGUCCAGGGAACCCGCGGGCGCUCACCUCGCGGCGGGCGGCGAAGGCGGGGCGCAGGGGCCGAGCCCCGGGCGGACCCACGGGCCGAGGGCCGGGCGCAGGCGGCGGAAGGCGCGCGCAGCCAUGGCGGGGCGGCGGGGCGGGCUCGGGCUCGGGCUCGGGCUCGGGCUCGGGCUCGGGGCGGGCUCGGCGCCGAGGGGCCUACGGGGCGGGCGGGCGGGAGCGCUGGGGCCUCGGCCGCGUCCCGGGCUUGGGGUUUCGCGCCGCGGCGGGCGCUCAGGGGCGGCCUCUGCGCGGCGGGGACGGGCGGGGGGGGGGGGGGCGGGGGAGGGGGCGGGAAGCCCGAGGAGGCGGGAGCAGCCCCCGGACCGAAGCUUCUUGGAAGGGGAUCCCGGUAGCCCCGUGGAGAGUCCUCAGCGGGGCGGGCGCGCAGGGAUCCAGGCCGACCUGCCCGAAGUGUGGCCUCGCUGCCUGGGGUCUCGGGGCCGCCCGGGGUAUUUAUUAG
rnacentral:lncRNA from 1 species